UGGCGAACGGGUGAGUAACACGUGAGCAACCUGCCCGACAAACCGGGAUAACAGCGGGAAACUGCUGCUAAUACCGGAUACACCAGGUAUGGCGCAUGCUGUAUCUGGGAAAGGGUUUACCGAUGUCGGAUGGGCUCGCGUCCCAUUAGCUAGUUGGUGAGGUAACGGCUCACCAAGGCGACGAUGGGUAGCUGGUCCGAGAGGACGAUCAGCCACACUGGAACUGAGACACGGUCCAGACUCCUACGGGAGGCAGCAGUGGGGAAUCUUGCACAAUGGGCGAAAGCCUGAUGCAGCGACGCCGCGUGGAGGAUGAAGGCCUUCGGGUUGUAAACUCCUGUCUGGGGGGAUGAACACUGACAGUACCCCCGGAGGAAGCCCCGGCUAACUACGAGCCAGCAGCCGCGGUAAUACGUAGGGGGCGAGCGUUGUCCGGAAUUACUGGGCGUA
rnacentral:rRNA from 1 species